rnacentral:rRNA from 1 species
UUCCGGUUGAUCCCGCCGGACCUGACUGCUAUCGGAUUGAUACUAAGCCAUGCGAGUCUUUGUAGUAAUACAAGGCAUACGGCUCAGUAACGCGUAGUCAACCUACCCUAUGGACAAGAAUAAUCUCGGGAAACUGAGCAUAAUUCUUGAUAGAUCAUAAUGCCUGGAAUGGUUUAUGGUUAAAAUGAUUCGUCGCCAUAGGAUGGGACUGCGGCCUAUCAGCUUGUUGGUGAGGUAAUGGCCCACCAAGGCGAUUACAGGUACGGGCUCUGAGAGGAGAAGCCCGGAGAUGGGUACUGAGACAAGGACCCAGGCCCUAUGGGGCGCAGCAGGCGAGAAAACUUUGCAAUGUGCGAAAGCACGACAAGGUUAGUCCGAGUGAUUUCUGCUAAAGAGAUCUUUUGCUAGUUAUAAAACCACUAGUGAAUAAGGGGUGGGCAAGUUCUGGUGUCAGCCGCCGCGGUAAAACCAGCACCUCAAGUGGUCAGGAUGAUUAUUGGGCCUAAAGCAUCCGUAGCCGGCUCUGUAAGUUUUCGGUUAAAUCUAUGCGCUCAACGUAUGGGCUGCCGAAAAUACUGCAGAGAUAGGGAGUGGGAGAGGUAGACGGUACUCGGUAGGAAGGGGUAAAAUCCUUUGAUCUAUCGAUGACCACCUGUGGCGAAGGCGGUCUACCAGAACACGUUCGACGGUGAGGGAUGAAAGCUGGGGGAGCAAACCGGAUUAGAUACCCGGGUAGUCCCAGCUGUAAACGAUGCAGACUCGAUGAUGCAUUGGCAUAUAGCCAGUGCAGUGUCGCAGGGAAGCCGUUAAGUCUGCCGCCUGGGAAGUACGUACGCAAGUAUGAAACUUAAGGAAUUGGCGGGGGAGCACCACAAGGGGUGAAGCCUGCGGUUCAAUUGGAUUCAACGCCGGG